GAAAUGCGAUAAGUAAUGUGAAUUGCAGAAUUCAGUGAAUCAUUGAAUCUUUGAACGCACAUUGCGCCCGCCAGUAUUCUGGCGGGCAUGCCUGUUCGAGCGUCAUUUCAACCAUCAAGCCCCCGGGCUUGUGUUGGGGACCUGCGGCUGCCGCAGGCCCCGAAAACCAGUGGCGGGCUCGCUGUCACACCGGGCGUAGUAGAUUUUUCGUCUCGCCCAGGGCGUGCUGCGGGUUCCGGCCGUUAAAAAGCCUCUCUUUUAACCCAAGGUUGACCUCGGAUCAGGUAGGAAGACCCGCUGAACUUAAGC
rnacentral:misc_RNA from 1 species